CCUACGUUUCAGUUAGGAAAACUAUACAUCUGUUAAAAAUUUCCAACGUUUCGUUGCGCGCGUAGAGACAUCGCCGUAUUUAUGUUGCACUCGCUGUUGUCGAACGACACUAGAACACCGUCCCUCUGCUGUUUGUUACAACAUUUCUUGCUUGUGCGUGGAGUUUGUGAACGUGCAUCGUAGAGAGGUAAUGGUUGGUUGCUGUGCGUCAAGGUGUUCGAAUUCCCCACAGAAAGGGUUCGGGUGUUUUGCCUUUCCGCGAGACCCCGAAAGGCGAAAGAAAUGGCUGGUUCAGUGCAAGCGUGACAAAUGGACUUCAAGUUCCAACUCUAAAUUAUGUGAGUCCAGACACACUUUGAAGCAGAUCGGUUCGACUCAAACAGGCAAGAUGGGUGGCGAAAACUCAAGCCAAAUGUUGUGCCAACAAUAUUCUCAUUCAGAUGUGAGUGUAACUGCUGUUUUGCCGCUUUUAGCUUCAUGUUUUUCUUUUUUGAUGAUUUUGAUACCGCGAUGUAAAAAUAGCACAGAAUUCUACAAAUAAGUGAGUCUGUUUCGUUUUUAGCAUGCCUUAAAAGAAGAAAGCCACCAACAAAAUGGUGCACUCAGAUGAGAGUACCACGCAGUGAAAACAGUCAACCGAUAACUGCAUGCGAGCAACAACAGAGCGACUCUGAUGAAAUGCAGCCCGUGGAGCCUGUACCAAUACCUUCAGGUUUCACAAGCCCCUCGUACAGUGCGUUCCGCCAGUUGCACCUGUAAAGCUGGCACAACUGAAAAAUGCAAGCAUGCUGCAGAUGUUUGCUGCCACGUAAACAAAAGUGACAACAGUUCGUACAUCAGUGAACCACAGCAAUGGGAAAAACCAACCGGAAAACCCAAGCGGGAUAUGCUCCUGUCACCCGCGCUGCCUUUCUCGUAUGGUUUGCCGGGGAAACGGUACGAAUUUACUGCAGGAAUCCGACCCCUCGUGUUCUUCAAGCUGUUAGAACAGUUUACAAUACAACAGUAUUAUGUACCCGACUUUCUUUUCUUUGGUAGAGAUGCCAUCGCAGUACAGCGGAACGACGCCAAAUACGACACACACGAUCCACUAGUACGGCAGCUCUACAACAGGGGCCUGAUCGGCGCUGCAGUCGCCGAGCGAAACUUUAGUGGAACAGGUCUAUGCACGAGAAAAGACGGAGGAGAGAAUGUGAAGUGAAUGAGUGCGUGUCCCAUACUUUGAAUGAGGCCCUUGGCAACUGGCCGAUAGACUGGGCCAGUGUAGGGUAGUGGUUAGUGUAGUUGACCGCCAACCAAGAGGUGUGUGGCUCGAGUCCCACCACUCCCUGUUUUUUUCUUUGCGUUU